rnacentral:rRNA from 1 species
UCUAUCAGCAGGGAAGAAAGGCUCGCAAGAGAGAUGACGGUACCUGACUAAGAAGCCCCGGCUAACUACGUGCCAGCAGCCGCGGUAAUACGUAGGGGGCAAGCGUUAUCCGGAUUUACUGGGUGUAAAGGGAGCGCAGACGGUCAAGCAAGUCUGAAGUGAAACCCCACGGCUCAACCGUGGGCUUGCUUUGGAAACUGUUUGACUAGAGUACUGGAGAGGUAAGCGGAAUUCCUAGUGUAGCGGUGAAAUGCGUAGAUAUUAGGAGGAACAUCGGUGGCGAAGGCGGCUUACUGGACAGCAACUGACGUUGAGGCUCGAAGGCGUGGGGAGCAAACAGGAUUAGAUACCCUGGUAGUCCACGCGGUAAACGAUGAAUACUAGGUGUUGGGUGCCAUAGGCAUUCAGUGCCGUCGCUA